rnacentral:lncRNA from 10 species
CCGCGUCCUCGACCCAUGGGUCCUCACCUCCAGGCUGGUGUCCUCAUUUUACAGUGGAGGAGGCCGAGACCAAGGGGCUUGGCGGGGACGGAACGGUGAGGUCAGAGAAUGCUGCAGAGGGGACAUUGGGACCAGGUCUUGCAGUGAGUUGAAGUGCUCCAGGCAGAGAGCGCCGGUGGGUCUUUCCUGGCCAGGCCGCAGGGGGCCUUUGGGAAGCACCCGAGGCCUAUAACCUUCGGAGCGUUUGUCAAGCUCUAAUGAGAACUGGAAAGCUUCAGCUUCCCGAGGUGGGCUGGGAGGGCCUUAGGUAGGGCCUCGCACAAAUUGCGAAGGAAAGCCGACCUUGUUCUGGAGAGCACGUGGUGAGGAAAGCCAGCGACUUGAUGUGAGCAUUUAAACGGGAGGAAGGAAGAUGAGAACUGGUAAGAUUCUUCUCGGCCGGGCGGUGCAGCGGCUCACGCCUGUAAUCCUAGCACUUUGGGAGGCCGAAGCCAGGCGGAUGACUUGAGUUCAGGAUUCGGAAGUUUGAGACCAACCUGGGCAACAUUUCAAAACCCCCGUCUCUACAAAAAAUAUUGUUUAAAAAAAGCCAGGUGUAGUGGCACGCGCCUGUAGUCCCAGCUACUUGGGAGCUGAGCUGGGAGUAUCACUCAGGACGGCUCAGAUUGAGCCCAGGAGUUCCAAGCUGCAGUGAGCUAUGAUCGCACCA